GAUGAAGAACGUAGCGAAUUGCGAUAAGUAAUGUGAAUUGCAGAUACUCGCGAAUCAUUGAAUUUUUGAACGCACAUUGCGCCCUUGAGCAUUCUCAGGGGCAUGCCUGUUUGAGCGUCAUUUCCUUCUCAAAAGAUAAUUUAUUAUUUUUUGGUUGUGGGCGAUACUCAGGGUUAGCUUGAAAUUGGAGACUGUUUCAGUCUUUUUUAAUUCAACACUUAGCUUCUUUGGAGACGCUGUUCUCGCUGUGAUGUAUUUAUGGAUUUAUUCGUUUUACUUUACAAGGGAAAUGGUAACGUACCUUAGGCAAAGGGUUGCUUUUAAUAUUCAUCAAGUUUGACCUCAAAUCAGGUAGGAUUACCCGCUGAACUUAAGCAUAUCAAUAAGCGGAGGA
rnacentral:misc_RNA from 1 species